rnacentral:tRNA from 1 species
CGGGAUGUAGCGCAGCUUGGUAGCGCGUCCGCUUUGGGAGCGGAAGGUCGCGGGUUCAAGUCCCGCCAUCCCGA